rnacentral:rRNA from 1 species
GGGUCAGUAGGUUGGACGUGCCACCGGUACGUACUGGUCUCACUGAUUCCUCCUUCCUGAAGAACCGUUAUGCCAUUAAUUUGGUGUUGCGGGGAAUCAGGACUGUUACUUUGAAAAAAUUAGAGUGUUUAAAGCAAGCUAACGCUUGAAUACAUUAGCAUGGAAUAAUGAAAUAGGACGAUCGAUCCUAUUUUGUUGGUUUCUAGGAUUGACGUA